rnacentral:rRNA from 1 species
AGUGAACGCUGGCGGUAGGCCUAACACAUGCAAGUCGAACGGCAGCACAGUAAGAGCUUGCUCUUACGGGUGGCGAGUGGCGGACGGGUGAGGAAUACAUCGGAAUCUACUUUUUCGUGGGGGAUAACGUAGGGAAACUUACGCUAAUACCGCAUACGACCUACGGGUGAAAGCAGGGGAUCUUCGGACCUUGCGCGAUUGAAUGAGCCGAUGUCGGAUUAGCUAGUUGGCGGGGUAAAGGCCCACCAAGGCGACGAUCCGUAGCUGGUCUGAGAGGAUGAUCAGCCACACUGGAACGGAGACACGGUCCAGACUCCUGCGGGAGGCAGCAGUGGGGAAUAUUGGACAAUGGGCGCAAGCCUGAUCCAGCCAGACCGCGUGGGUGGAGAAGGCCUUCGGGUUGUAAAGCCCUUUUGUUGGGAAAGAAAAGCAGCAGGUUAAUACCCCGCUGUUCUGACGGUACCCAAAGAAUAAGCACCGGCUAACUUCGUG